rnacentral:rRNA from 1 species
AUUGUUAGUUGCCAUCAUUCAGUUGGGGCACUCUAGCGAGACUGCCGGUAAUAAACCGGAGGAAGGUGGGGAUGACGUCAAAUCAUCAUGCCCCUUAUGACCUGGGCUACACACGUGCUACAAUGGUUGGUACAACGAGUUGCGAGUCGGUGACGGCGAGCUAAUCUCUUAAAGCCAAUCUCAGUUCGGAUUGUAGGCUGCAACUCGCCUACAUGAAGUCGGAAUCGCUAGUAAUCGCGGAUCAGCACGCCGCAGUGAAUACGUUCCCGGGCCUU